GACGAACGCUGGCGGCGUGCUUAACACAUGCAAGUCGAACGGAAAGGCCCUGCUUUUGUGGGGUGCUCGAGUGGCGAACGGGUGAGUAACACGUGAGUAACCUGCCCUUGACUUUGGGAUAACUUCAGGAAACUGGGGCUAAUACCGGAUAGGAGCUCCUGCUGCAUGGUGGGGGUUGGAAAGUUUCGGCGGUUGGGGAUGGACUCGCGGCUUAUCAGCUUGUUGGUGGGGUAGUGGCUUACCAAGGCUUUGACGGGUAGCCGGCCUGAGAGGGGGACCGGCCCCCAUGGGGCUGAGGAAAGGCCCCACACCCUACGGGGGGGAGCAGGGGGGGAAAUUUUCCAAAGGGGGGCAGACGCAUGACGGCACCCCGCGGGGGGGAGGUAGGCCCUCCGGGUGUAAACCACUUUUGCCCGGGGAGAAGAGGGAAUGACGGUAAUUGGUGAAGAAGCACCGGCUAACUCCGUG
rnacentral:rRNA from 1 species